ensembl:lncRNA MEG8 maternally expressed 8, small nucleolar RNA host gene
GCCCAAGCCUGUAUCAAGUCUGGGGCGCAUCUCACAUCCCCACACCUGCCUCCAGUACUGCUCACCGCACCCGGGACACACAGUAAUCCUGAAACCAAGGUCGGCUGCAUCUUCUUCCUCCCUGCACCCUCCAGGAGCAAUCCAUCAGUCAUCCUGCCCAGAGCUUGUGAAGGUGCAGUGGCCUGAGCCAGGCUUCCAAGAGGACAACCGUGAUGGGCUCUGUGUGCGUUGCUGGGUAAAGAGUCAUUCAUGGCUGGGCAUGGUGGCUAACGCCUGUAAUCCCAGCACUUUGGGAGGCCCAGGUGGGCGGAUCACCUGAGGUCAGGAGUUCGAGACCAGCCUGCCCAACAUGGCGAAACCCUGGCUCUACCAAAAAUACAAAAAACUUAGCUGGGCAUGGUGGUGGGUGCCUGUAAUCCCAGCUACUCAGGAGGCUGAGGCAGGAGAAUUGCUUGAACCCGGGAGGCGGAGGUUGCAGUGAGCCGAGAUUGUGCCACUGGACUCCAGCCUGGGUGACAAGAGCGAAACUCCAUGUCAAAAAAAAAGGGUCAUUCAUAUCUAUAUAUAAUGCAAUUUUUGUCUGUCACUUUAUCUCAUCUAUUUCUUUUCCUUUGACUAGAUCUUCUAAAACAUUAUAUUAUUGAUAACAGAAAUCUUGUCUUGUUUCUGGUUCACUUUUAAGUAUGGUUGCAAAUCAUUUUUUAGUUGAGAUUUUUUAAAUAAAUGAAGUAUUUAUACCUAGUUAAUAUAAGACUUUAAAUCAGGAUUGGAGUUAGAAUUUUAUGAAAUGCUUUUUUGAUAUCUGCAGAUAUCAUGUUGUUUUUCUCUGUUGAUCUGUUGAUACAAUAAGCUAAUGUUUCGUAACUUUGAAACAUUUUUGAUUGAAUUCUACUUGAUUAU